AUUGAACGCUGGCGGCAGGCCUAACACAUGCAAGUCGAGCGGAUGAAGGGAGCUUGCUCCUGGAUUCAGCGGCGGACGGGUGAGUAAUGCCUAGGAAUCUGCCUGGUAGUGGGGGAUAACGUCCGGAAACGGGCGCUAAUACCGCAUACGUCCUGAGGGAGAAAGUGGGGGAUCUUCGGACCUCACGCUAUCAGAUGAGCCUAGGUCGGAUUAGCUAGUUGGUGGGGUAAAGGCCUACCAAGGCGACGAUCCGUAACUGGUCUGAGAGGAUGAUCAGGCACACUGGAAAUGAGACACGGUCCAGACUCCUACGGGAGGCAGCAGUGGGGAAUAUUGGACAAGGGGCGAAAGCCUGAUCCAGCCAUGCCGCGUGUGUGAAGAAGGUCUUCGGAUUGUAAAGCACUUUAAGUUGGGAGGAAGGGCAGUAAGUUAAUACCUUGCUGUUUUGACGUUACCAACAGAAUAAGCAACGGCUAACUUCGUG
rnacentral:rRNA from 1 species